rnacentral:pre_miRNA from 1 species
AUCACCUGGGAAUCUUGCUAAAAUGCAGGCUCUGAUUCAGCAGGCUUGGGGUGGGGCCUGAGACUCUGCAUUUCUAGCCAGCUCCCAGGUAAUGCCUA